ACCCACCAGUUGCUUAGCAACACAAGCUCCAGUGCUUCAUGUAACAAUACUGUGUACAUACAGCACUAUAUUGGCACUGUACACUGCUUCAGUAUCUAUCGAAUAAUGAUUCCAUUAGAACAAGCCUGAUUAUUUUAAAGAUCCUUUUAUUUAGAUUAUGGACAUAAUACUGGCAUUUAGGACCACAUUAUAAAAAUGGCAAAACACAAUUCAUAAUUAAUGGGUUAAUAUAAUUACAUCUUUGUUAACGCCUAAUUAACUUUUUCAGUGAAUGACUGUCUUUGUGCGUUUGACAAACUAGAACUGCCCAGUAGUUUUAGUAAUUGACAAGCAGUGCAAUCUACCCUCCUCCCUCUCCCCUAAGACCAAUGCAUUGGAGUACAAUCCCUUUAUUUUUUGCAUUGGCAUCUCUUCAUAGCCUUAAAGGAGAGAAUUACUUAACUUUGGAACAUGAUGAUUUCAGUUAUUUAUAUAGGCUUCCCUUACUGCACAGACAUUUGACACUUUAACAGAACAUUCUAAACAUCAGCACGGCCUGCUGCAGUAGUUAUUCUGCCAGGUGUUGCCCUAUAUUUUAGAAUGGUCUGAGUCUGACUUGUCUCCCAGGCCCUUGCACUGGACCCAGUGUUUGGCAGGAGAAGCCGGUUUCCUAAAAUAAAAUCCAGCUGAUGUAGGACUGUGUGCAUUGGCUGAGAGCGAUCAUUUGACGCUCUUGGCCAAUAAGCAUGGUCCCACUUACUUCUAUAGCGCUAACUGGAAGCAAGGUAUGCAGGACCCAGGUAAGUUGUCAAACUACUAAAACACUCAAUCACAAUAACUACGGCAGCAGCCUCUAGUAUUCAUGGUGGCAGCAGCCCCAAAGAUUUAAUAAAGCUGCUUGUCUUGUUUAUCAGGAUAGCUGAAGGAGGCAGUCUAACUCGAUCUGUAAAUACACAACCAGUUUCCAGGAUCUCACUUUCCAGGAGCCUCUGGGGGUGUAUGGGGGAAUGGGAUCUAGAGAGACCAACCUGUUUCUUUCAUUUCUUUGGAAGAAGGACAGUAUUUGGAUGCUUUUAUUUAUUUUUCCUAAUAUUUCCAUAGACAUUAAGUCCAUUACAUGUACAAGAAUGUUCGUACUUAAAACCAGAUUACAGGCAGCAGUUAAGGCCCCAAGAAGUUGGGUAUGGAGCUUAUUCACUAAGCAGUGAUGUGCAAACAUUUCUACAGAACAAAGCAAUAAGAAGAGUGUUGAAUGUUUGUCUAGUUUACCAGAUGGAAAAUUAUCUGUUUAUCAAUUCUCCACAACUCGCUGCUCAGUGAGAGGAGGGAAAAAGAGUUUAUAGAUUUUUAUAUUCUCAAAUACCUUAAUUUGGGUAAAAGGGAACCUUUUGUGGAUUGUAAUUAAACUGGAUUACAUGUUGAAAUACGAAACAAUCUCGCAUUAAAUUGUAACCUGAAAACAGACGUGGCUCAAUCACUUGGCCAAUUCAGUGUGUCUCUAAUGCAAUUACAGAGGAAAUCUUUCCAUUUUUUAUGACUAUAUUUACCAAAAUGUUGAGACACUCUAUGGUAGUUUUUUUCUUUUCUUUUUUUGUAUUCAUAUAAAUUCACCAUUUAGGGGUUACCCCCCUUUUUGUUUCUACCCAUAUUCGUGCCUCAUUCAUAUCUAGGCUCUCCUUUUUUCAUUUUUAGUUACUUUCCACAGGCCUAUUAACGCCUCAAUGACCAAUUAUGGUCUAUAUUAUA